rnacentral:tRNA from 1 species
GGCUUUAUAGUCAUUAAUGAUAUUAGACUGCAAUUCUAAAGGAGUAGAGUUCUACUAAGGCUU